CCUUGUACACACCGCCCGUCAAGCCAUGGAAGCUGGGGGUACCCGAAAUCGCUGUGCCAACCGCAAGGAGGCAGGCGCCUAAGGUAAAACCAGUGACUGGGGCU
rnacentral:rRNA from 1 species